rnacentral:rRNA from 1 species
UACGAGAGGCCCAAACGUUAUUCGGAAUUACUGGGCUUAAAGAGUUCGUAGGCGGCAUUGCAAGUAGGGUGUGAAAGCCCUCGGCUCAACCGAGGAAUUGCGCUCUAAACUGCAGUGCUCGAGGAAGCUAGAGGUGAGCAGAACAGAUGGUGGAGCGGUGAAAUGCGUAGAUAUCGGGAGGAACACCAGUGGCGAAGGCGGUUGCCUGGAGCUUUGCUGACGCUGAGGCGCGAAAGCGUGGGGAGCGAUCCGG